CGUGGGUAAUCUGCCCUGCACUUCGGGAUAAGCCUGGGAAACCGGGUCUAAUACCGGAUAUGAGCUCCUGCCGCAUGGUGGGGGUUGGAAAGUUUUUCGGUGCAGGAUGAGUCCGCGGCCUAUCAGCUUGUUGGUGGGGUAAUGGCCUACCAAGGCGACGACGGGUAGCCGGCCUGAGAGGGUGAUCGGCCACACUGGGACUGAGACACGGCCCAGACUCCUACGGGAGGCAGCAGUGGGGAAUAUUGCACAAUGGGCGAAAGCCUGAUGCAGCGACGCCGCGUGGGGGAUGACGGUCUUCGGAUUGUAAACUCCUUUCAGUAGGGACGAAGCGAAAGUGACGGUACCUGCAGAAGAAGCACCGGCCAACUACGUGCCAGCAGCCGCGGUAAUACGUAGGGUGCAAGCGUUGUCCGGAAUUACUGGGCGUAAAGAGCUCGUAGGCGGUUUGUCACGUCGUCUGUGAAAUCCUCCAGCUCAACUGGGGGCGUGCAGGCGAUACGGGCAGACUUGAGUACUACAGGGGAGACUGGAAUUCCUGGUGUAGCGGUGAAAUGCGCAGAUAUCAGGAGGAACACCGGUGGCGAAGGCGGGUCUCUGGGUAGUAACUGACGCUGAGGAGCGAAAGCAUGGGGAGCAAACAGGAUUAGAUACCCUGGUAGUCCAUGCCGUAAACGGUGGGCGCUAGGUGUGGGGUCCUUCCACGGAUUCCGUGCCGUAGCUAACGCAUUAAGCGCCCCGCCUGGGGAG
rnacentral:rRNA from 1 species